CUCUGAGCAAGCUGUGGCCCUCUAUUGAGUUGUGAGUCAGGUUCAGUUUUGUUUAUUAAAAAAAGAAAACCAACACCCUGACCUGCAAAGGACAAAGCAGAGCUCCACAUGGAGGCCGCAGCAUUCACUACUGGGGGUGAUUCAGCAGUGCUGCUCAGCGGCCACCGGUCUCCUGACAUCAGCUGGCCUUACCGGCUACAGGGCCUGGAAGAGUUCACAGAGGCCAUGCAUGCUGGAGUCUGAAGGUGUCCCACAUGGAGACUUCCAGGCUUAUCUGGAAAGCCCUGAGCAAAGGCGUCUUUACUCACGGUCUCCAUGUCGCUAUCGGUGUGACAGUGUCCCCUGGGUUGUCCGACACGCAUUCUCCACUGCGGCUUUCAGAAUAACAGCAUCCCUCCCCCCUAGAUUUGGCUCAACCUUUGGGCCCUCCCCAGGGGUCCCCAGGUUUGUGGAGCACAUGUGUGGUGCCGCCUCUGUAAGGAAUGGAUUCACUGGGAUAGGGAAUUGGUCCGUUCUUCAGCUCUGGAGGCUCCAGAAACAUUCCUUGGAGCAACCGGAACGUACCUUUGCUUUCACUGGUGACUGCGACAGCCAGCUCUGCCGGUUUUCUGUUUGUUGUGUUUACUUAUGAGGUCAGGGGCUGGUCCUUGCAGACAGGGGAAUGCCCAGGAUCCCCAGAGCCCCUUCUUUGACCUGGGACGGGAACCCCUACCUGAACCUGCUCCUGAAGGAGUGGAGACUGGACGAGGGCUGGUGAGAGUUAAAGGCUGAAUCUGCAAAGACCUCAGGCUCCUCCCAACUCCCUGAAAGCCCCCUGAUUGCUGUACAACUUCUCCAGUCCUAGAGUCUGGCUCAGUUAAAAGAUUAAGUCUAACAGAUCCAAGAGCAAAUUCCCAACUCUCUAGCUUCAUAGCUGUGUGACCUUGGACAAAUAACAUAACCUCUCUGAACCUCAUCUUCUUCAUCUAUACAAGUAAAAAUAUCUUUGUAUUUACACCUUAUCUCUCUUCAAGGUGUAUUAAAGUUACCUGAGAAACCUGACAAUGUAAUUAAAUGGCUUUUAAUAGAGGGAGGAAAGAUAUGGAGAAAGGGGGAUUCAAAAGUUAAGAGGAAGCCAGGGAUGCAGUGAGCUUGUGAAGUACAUCCCCAUGAGAGCCUGCUGCAAGAGGCUGGCCCCAGCAAAUUCCUCUCUGAGUUUCCUGACACCCCAAGUGGAAAAGGACAUACAGUGAGUUACAAAGUCCAGAGUGUUCAUUCGGUUAAAAAUAGACCCACCUUUCAGAAGCAGCCAGUUUUUCUAGGCCCCAGACUCAAAGAAAAAUAUUCUCACCUGUAUCCCCGAAAAUGGCAAGUUGCAGAGGGGAGAGUUUGUGCGCAAUGAAGGUGACGCUAUUUCCUAGACCUUCGUGUGCUUGAAAUGAAAUAAAACGCCUGACGGUGACCCUUGGAGUGGCCA
rnacentral:lncRNA from 1 species